rnacentral:rRNA from 1 species
UACGUAGGGGGCAAGCGUUGUCCGGAUUUACUGGGCGUAAAGGGUCCGUAGGUGGUUGUGUAAGUCUGGUGUGAAAUCUUCGCCGCUUAACGGGAAGAAGCCACUGGAAACUGCGCAACUUGAGUAUGGUAGAGGCAAGCGGAAUUCCUGGUGUAGCGGUGGAAUGUGUAGAUAUCAGGAAGAACAUCUGUGGCGAAGGCGGCUUGCUGGGCCAUCACUGACACUGAGGGACGAAAGCGUGGGGAGCAAACGGG